UUCCAGUUGACAAUUUUUAACCGCACAUAUUUAGAACUUGAAUAAUUAAUUGUACAACUUAUUGUUCAUUUCUGAACUUGCGAUGUCGAAAAUAAUUUUAUUUAUUUUUAUUGUUGGAUUUUUCGCAGUAGCAACUGAUGCUUGUGCUGCUGAAAACGCAUGGUGCCACCCAAGUUAUGGCUAUAAAUGUUGUGAGACUUUCAAUUUUUGUUCUAACGGUUGGUUCAAACAAGGGACCUGUAUGCCAAAAACCUCUGGAAAAUUUAAUGGAUAGUAGUAGUAGGGGUGGGUGGGGCAGAGCGGCCCCCCUGAAAUUUUGAUCAAAAAAUAAAUUUUUUUUUUUUCGACUAAUUACUAUAAAUCCGAUAUGUUUGCGCAUUUUUACCCCUACGCAUGACAUUUGGGGCAAAAUGGACAAGCCCAAAAUUUUGAAAAAGUGAUUUUUUCAUAUUUUUAUCGUCAAAUUAAAAAAAAAUUAUUAUAAUUCCACAUUUCUAGCCCUACGCAUAACACCUGGGGCAAAAUGGACCAGCCGAAACUUCCGCAAAAAUUAUUUUUUCAUAUUUUUCGGCCGUUUCUCCAUAAGAGUAUAAGUAUCCUCAUCUUCAGCUGCAUCUGUUAAUAAUCCAGUGGAUUGCAAUUGUUGUUAAAGACGAUUUGUAUUUUCUCUGAUAACAAAAUGUCGAAAUUAAUUCUAUUGGUUUUUUUAAUCGGAUUUUUAGCCGUCACUACUGAAGCCUGUUCUGCUAAAGACUCAUGGUGUCACCCAAUUGCCGGCUACAGAUGUUGCGACGAUUUUUGGUUUUGUAACGAAGGUUGGUUCUACCAAGGAGUAUGUAAAAGAAAAGACACUGGAAUUUUCAAUGGUUAAUGAUAAUAAUCUUCAUAUUUGUCUUCACAAUCCCUGUCUACUUAACGAUGGAAAAUAAAAUGCAAUUUUGGUAUAAAAUUUUAUUUUAUCCGCACGAAAAAAUGAUUAUUGAGAUUUAAAUAAAAAAAAUAUGUUCAGAAAA